GUUACUUUGCCACAAACCGGCCGAAGUUCGCGCCCUUUGAGUAAGAGAUGUCCGACGUUCGAGCUCCGGCAAACAAAACCAAAGCCGGAUUUAUUUAGAUAAUUUCUGCUUAAACUUUAUUAAACUAAUACAUGAAGGCUCACAUCCAACCGAACACCGUGACCCCAGAGCUAAGCUGACAUGUACCCAAACACCCUGAUCGCAGAGUUAAGCUGUCAUCUACUCAGAUGCCCUAAUUCCAAAGGCUGCUUGAUCCCAGUGGUAAGCUGCUGUCUACCGAAACACCCUGAUCACAGAGGCAAAGCACUGUCCACCCAAACACCCUGAUCCCAGAUGUAGGCUGCCAUCCACGCAAACACAUUGUUCCCAGAAGUAAUCUGCCAUUCACCCAACCAUGCUGAUCCCAGAGGUAAACUACCUUCCAUCUAACCGCCUUGUUCUCUGGGGUAAGCUGACAUUUACCCAAAUACCCUGAUCCCAGAGGCAAGCUGCUGUCCACCCAAACACGCAGACCCCUCAGGUAAGCUCACAUCCACCCAAAUGUCCUAACCCCAGAGGUAGGCUGCCAUCCACCCAAAUGCUCUGAUCUCAGAGACAAGCUGCUGUCCACCCAAACACGCAGGCGCCUCAGGUAAGCUCACAUCCACCCAAAUGCCCUAACCCCAGAGGUAGGCUGCCUGUGACCCAGCCCCCUGACCCCUGAGGUAACCUCGCUUCCACCUAAACACUCUGAUCUCAGAGGCAAGCUGACAUUUGCCCAAACACCCUGAUCACAGAAAUAAGCUGCCAUCCACCUAAACGACCUACCCCUAGAGGUAAGCUGACAUCCAUCUAACUGCCUUGAUCCUAGGCUGCCCCAGUACGUCUAGGUGGUGACACUCCAUCCUACAGGGUUGACAUGAUGCACUUUCCUGAAGCACACAAAGGACACCUCAGGU